CCUACGGGUGGCAGCAGUAGGGAAUUUUCGUCAAUGGGCGCAAGCCUGAACGAGCAAUGCCGCGUGAACGAGGAAGGUCUUCGGAUCGUAAAGUUCUGUUGAAGGGGGAAAAGAGCGGAGAGAGGAAAUGGUCUCCGAUUGAUAUUACCCUUCGAGGAAGUCACGGCUAACUACGUGCCAGCAGCCGCGGUAAUACGUAGGUGGCGAGCGUUAUCCGGAAUGAUUGGGCGUAAAGGGUGCGUAGGCGGCCUGCUAAGUCUGGAGUGAAAGGUACCGGCUCAACCGGUACAGGCUCUGGAAACUGGCGGGCUAGAGUGCAGGAGAGGGCUGUGGAACGCCAUGUGUAGCGGUAAAAUGCGUAGAUAUAUGGAAGAACACCAGUGGCGAAGGCGGCCGCCUGGCCUGUUACUGACGCUGAGGCACGAAAGCGUGGGGAGCAAAUAGGAUUAGAUACCCGGGUAGUC
rnacentral:rRNA from 1 species